UACGAAAGGUGCAAGCGUUACUCGGAAUCACUGGGCGUAAAGCGCACGUAGGCGGACUCGUAGGUCAAUUGUGAAAUACCUGGGCUCAACCCGGGAACUGCAGUUGAAACCGCUUGUCUUGAAUACCUGAGAGGAGAGUGGAAUUCCUGGUGUAGCGGUGAAAUGCGCAGAUAUCAGGAGGAACACCGGUGGCGAAGGCGGCUAUCUGGACCGACAUUGACGCUGAGGCGCGAAAGCGUGGGGAGCAAACAGG
rnacentral:rRNA from 1 species